rnacentral:rRNA from 1 species
CCCUUAGAUGUCCUGGGCCGCACGCGCGCUACACUGACACACGCAACGAGUUUUGCUUGUCCGAAAGGUCUGGCUAAUCUUUUAAAUGUGUGUCGUGAUAGGGAUAGAUUAUUGCAAUUAUUAAUCUUGAACGAGGAAUUCCUAGUAAACGCAAGUCAUCAGCUUGCAUUGAUUACGUCCCUGCCCUUUGUACACACCGCCCGUCGCACCUACCGAUUGAAUGACUCGGUGAAAUCCCCGGACUGCAGUCUUGACACCCUCGGGUGACUCGGCAGUGGAAAGCGGAUUAAACCUCGCCAUUUAGAGGAAGGUGAAGUCGUAACA